rnacentral:lncRNA from 1 species
UCCUACCCAAAAUACAACUUCAACAUGAAAUUUACUAACCCUCGAUUAAUCCCAUGCCAAUUUAAUUAAAUAGCUCAGUAACAUAAGCAUUUCAAGAUUAACUGCUUGUGUUUGUACACACAAAUUUCGUGCAUCUCAGGUAGAAACUAGACGAGCAGCAUAAUUAGUUACAAACACGAAAUCUUUGCGUGAUUUAUUGGUUUUUUAUUUGCUUUUGCUUUUUAUUUCCCAGACGCACAAAAUCCGUGGGUAACAAAAUAAUACUCCUAGUACUGCUAAUAAAUAAUUGAUUUUUUUUUUUUUAAGGAAAGGAGACUGACAUCGGAAUCGGGAGGGCGGUUGUCACGGGAUCGCUUUAGAGCGGAGGAAACGGCGGCACCACCAUCUCUGCUGGAGAAAGACCCAUG